rnacentral:rRNA from 1 species
GAUGAACGCUGGCGGCGUGCCUAAUACAUGCAAGUCGAGCGAACAGACGAGGAGCUUGCUCCUCUGACGUUAGCGGCGGACGGGUGAGUAACACGUGGAUAACCUACCUAUAAUACUGGGAUAACUUCGGGAAACCGGAGCUAAUACCGGAUAAUAUAUUGAACCGCAUGGUUCAAUAGUGAAAGACGGUUUUGCUGUCACUUAUAGAUGGAUCCGCGCCGCAUUAGCUAGUUGGUAAGGUAACGGCUUACCAAGGCAACGAUGCGUAGCCGACCUGAGAGGGUGAUCAGCCACACUGGAACUGAGACACGGUCCAGACUCCUACGGGAGGCAGCAGUAGGGAAUCUUCCGCAAUGGGCGAAAGCUUGACGGAGCAACGCCGCGUGAGUGAUGAAGGUCUUCGGAUCGUAAAACUCUGUUAUUAGGGAAGAACAAAUGUGUAAGUAACUAUGCACGUCUUGACGGUACCUAAUCAGAAAGCCACGGCUAACUACGUG